AACUUGAGUAAGGUUAGAUGUUGUUCUUGGUCUAUAAAAGAGCACUACUUCCUGCUCUAACUUCAUCCCAUUCUCAUUCAUAUAGGAAUUUCACUUAGAAACUCAUUGGAAAGAAAGAAAUCUUUAGUUAAAGAAAGUUAGCUUAAGCUCUUAGGUUCUUUAAGUUGUGAAGCUCAAUUUCGUGGCUAAGCCUCCAAUCACCUGUUGAUCACUUCAAAAGAUAUUCUUGUAUUGAGUACAUGCUUGGGGAAAAGGGAUGAACCUAAAGAAUAUUUUUACUACUAUUUCUAGUGAAUACUUGCACUGAUUUGAAUUUUGCUUAACUUUGGUUAUGUAAAUAUAUUAACCAUUUUGUUUUCUAAUAAAAGUACUAUUCAGAUAUGUAUAUAAUUUCUUUUACUUCCUAUUGAUUUAUUCAAGAAGAAAAUUUUAUUCG